rnacentral:rRNA from 1 species
GACGAACGCUGGCGGCGUGCCUAAUACAUGCAAGUAGGACGCAGUUGCGAACGGGAGAGUAACGCGUGGGUCACUAGCUAUUAGCGGGAGAUAACUAUUGGAAACGCUAGCGACUACCGCAUACUAGUAGAUGGACCUUCGUUGUAUUAGCUAGUAGGUAGGGUAAAGGCCUACCUAGGCAACGAUCCAUAGCCGACCUGAGAGGGUGAUCGGCCACACUGGGACUGAGACACGGCCCAGACUCCUACGGGAGGCAGCAGUAGGGAAUCUUCGGCAAUGGGGGAAACCUGACCGAGCAACGCCGCGUGAGUGAAGAAGGUUUUCGGAUCGUAAAGCGCUGUUGUUAAGGAAGCGGUACUUAACCAGAAAGGGACGGCUAACUACGUGCCAGCAGCCGCGGUAAUUC